UCUGGUCGGUCACGUGGUCGUUUAUAGCUGAGGAAUAGUGGAGAAAGUCUUAAUGUUCACAAAGGUCUGUAUCGUCAAAACAAGCUGCUCGUCUGUGAUUUGUUAUCGAUUAUCCGGCUGCGCGCUUCUCACCCCUCGGCUGUGGAGUGAGGAUGAGACAUGUGGGGCUGAAGAAGGCUUAAGGACGUAUGUGAUGUUUGCGCUUCAUUUUUCCAAGAUAAUAUAGUCCGACUUCGACAGCGCGCAAUCUUUUAUGAGAGUUUUGGUGGUUAUUUUGUAGAAGACAUGUGUGUGAAUCAACCGAGAAACAACAAAAGAUGAUGCAUCACGGAACCUGAUCAUCUAAACUUUUAACAGCACAUUGAUAGACGGAGGCUUUGGUGAACAACAUUUUGAAUGACUGCUUCCCUGGACAAUACACGCACCUAACAGACGAGGGACGACGGUGUGGUGAUGUUUUUUCAUUUCGUCCCUGGAGUCAUUUUUGGUUUCUCCAACAAUAUCUGUGCUGUCCCACAAUGGCUCGCUUUGAAGACGAUCUGUCUGGCCGCUACAGAGGCAGCUGUCCUGCGGGCCCGAGAGGAGCCAACCGGCAGCCGGGUCCUCCGGGAACUCAGAGGAUGUACAAACAGACGAUGGUGCAAAGAGCCAGGACCAUGGCUAUUUACAACCCCAUCCCUGUCAAACAGAGCUGCCUCAGCGUUAACCGCUCUCUGUUCAUCUUCAGUGAGGAUAACAUGAUACGGAAAUAUGCCAAAAAGAUCACGGAAUGGCCAUAUCCUUACUAUUAGUUGCAGUGUGCUACUCUAAAUUAUGAUAAAAGGCUGGUUAAGGUUCCAUUCUACCCCUCUACAGUAAACAUUUUCUAAAAUAAAUAUUGACAUAGACACAACGUUAAGGCAUUUCGUUAUGACUGCUGACAAGUAAGUGACACCAUUUCUCACCAUGUUUUCUUAGAAAACAUUUUAUCAGUACGUAACCUGCGAUUUGUUGCAUAUUGGUGGUGAUGAGUUUACAUAGGCUUCACCAUGUUCAUGCAGUGUGUUCUGUUUGAUUAGGCCAGUGGUUGGUGGCCUUAGUCAUAGGCAUCUGUCCUAAUGCUGAAUUGAUUGAGGUUUACUUGAUGGAGUAUUGUCUCACUGACACUUUCUUGUCAAGGCUUUAGUCUGUGGAUGGUGCUGAUCUGCCUGGCAUUGGCUUUCUGCAUAGGUGUGAUGGUACACGUUUUGUAGAAUCAAAUGCUGCAGAACGCAGGUUCCACAUUAUCUGCAAAGUGUUUUUAUUAAGUAGUCAAUCGUGGGAGUAUGUACUCACUUUACAGCAUAUGUCAGGGCAUGGUAUGACAGAUCUAGGUUAUUCAUAUUAAGUUGUGUCAUAGCUUUUACUAAAACUGAUGCUGAUGAUGUCUGUUCAUCUGCUGAGCAAACAGUAGUGAUGCUGAGAUGUUGCAGAUCAAACUGCAGAGUAACCUGCAGCUCAGAGUGGCUGGAGUGGGUCUUCUCCCUUUUCCCAGCACUCUGUCCUGAGGGAAUAUUGGCAUAGCUGUGCUAAUGACACACUAGUGCUGCACUGCAGGGAGGAAGAUGCCCCAUAAUCAGUAUAAUGCUCUAUAUCAUAUCAGAAGCUCUCCUCUAAGGUCCCAAUCGACCUUAAGUUGGUGUCGAAGAGGGAUUGUUGUAAUUCUAUCUGUCAGAUGUUUGUUUAUUUAAAUACUUUUUCAACAGCUGUGUCUGAAUACAAAAUACAGAAUAUGUAAAUGAGCAGUAUGUGAACAUUGGAGGCAGUAAAUCUACACCUGAAAAGAGAUUUGUCUUGUGGAAACCGGAAGCCUGCGUUGUGAACUACGGCUGUGGGCUGAUGUCUAACAGAUUGAAGCACUGCUGCUCUGGAAUGUUUGAUCCAGUAUUUUAAUUUUGGCCGUUGGCUUUCACAUGUGUAUUUUAUGCCGAUCAUUGUUGUUGUGGCCCAGUCCUAUGUCAGUGGGCACUCACAUAACUGAUUUGACUUAAUUGUGUCAUUUGUCAUUGUUUCAGCAUCACCAAGCUUCAGGUGCAGCUAGUGUCUUAGGGUUGAAGAGUGAAUCCUUGUGUCCCCAUGUGGUUUGUAUCUGGUCCUUAACACUCUCACUCUAUUUGAGUAUAUGAUUCUAGCCACCAUCAUAGCAAACUGCAUCGUUUUGGCUCUGGAACAACAUCUGCCAGCUUUGGACAAGACACCAAUGUCAGAGCGUUUGGAUGACACAGAGCCCUACUUCAUCGGAAUAUUUUGCUUUGAGGCUGGCAUCAAAAUCAUUGCUUUGGGAUUUGCUUUUCACAAAGCGUCCUACCAGCGUAAUGGCUGGAAUGUAAUGGACUUUGUGGUUGUCCUAACAGGUGUUAAAGAGGACAAAGAAGUGUAAGAAUGACAUUAUCAAUGCACACGACGGUGACAAGCAUUUCACUGAGAUCGCAUCUGUUGGGUUGCCGUUUGCCCGCUCCUGUGUGAAGAGCAAGAAUGAGAGUUCAUCCUAUUUUAAAAGAAAAGAUGAAAAUGAAAAAUGUAUGGCCUUGGACCCCAGAGCUACUUCCACUCAUCCUUCAACUGUUUUGACUUUGGGGUUAUUAUUGGCAGCAUUUUUGAGGUGAUCUUGGCUGCCAUCAAACCUGGAGCUUCAUUUGGGAUCAGUGUACUACGAGCUUUGAGACUACUCAGGAUCUUCAAAGUUACAAAGUACUGGAACUCACCAAACCUGGUGGUGUCUUUGCUCAACUCCAUGAAGUCUAUCAUCAGUCUGCUGUUCCUCCUCUUCCUCUUCAUUGUGAUCUUUGCUCUACUAGGCAUGCAGCUGUUUGGUGGCCAGUAAGUAACCCCAUAAGCCCCAGGAUUUUUUUUCUGUAACACUCCUUUAGGCCCCAGCUCUCCCAUAUCUGGGAGAGAUGGUCCAGACUGGGUCCCCAAAACUGAGAACCUCAUGUGACCACCAUCUUUUCGCAGAGUUAGUUUUCACUAAUUGUCCUAUGAUUAUAUGGAGGUUAGAAGUUGCUGAGUCCUCUAUUUACAGAGAUAUUAAUCAUUUUAUAGCACAUUAUACUAAGUUUUUCCAGUCAUUGCAACAAGUGCCUCCUUCUCUCAAUGCUAAUGAAGAUUGUCAAUCAUCUAGGUGCAGUUGCAUGGAUGUCAGAUGUCAUGAGAAUAGUCUAAAUAAAUAUGAAUUACUAAAUAAAUAUAACAAAAAUAAGUAAAAGUCACUUUCCUCAUGCUUCUAAUGCUAAUACUGCUACACUGGGUUACGGGUAAACAUUACUACUUACGGCUUCUGUUUCAAAUGCUCA